rnacentral:rRNA from 1 species
UACGUAGGGUGCGAGCGUUGUCCGGAAUUAUUGGGCGUAAAGAGCUUGUAGGCGGUCUGUCGCGUCUGCUGUGAAAAUCCGGGGCUCAACCCCGGACUUGCAGUGGGUACGGGCAGACUAGAGUUCGGCAGGGGAGACUGGAAUUCCUGGUGUAGCGGUGAAAUGCGCAGAUAUCAGGAGGAACACCGGUGGCGAAGGCGGGUCUCUGGGCCGAUACUGACGCUGAGGAGCGAAAGCGUGGGGAGCGAACAGG